UCAAGAAAGACAAAAAGCAGAUCUUUUUAACUUGUAACACAUCAAUGAAGUCACAAUAAAUUGUCACCUGGUUUUCCUUUUUUUUUCUCCGGACCAAUGUUGUCAUUCAUGUUUAAUAAACCUAUUGGAGCACUAAGUUGUAACUGUACACCUUACGCGUGUGGCAGCUCUUGGUUCAGCGCAUCAACAUCUACCACGAAAAAGACAUUUUAAUGUGAGGAGCCAUGCUGUGACUAAUAUUUUCCGCUCUGCACAAUGCAGCUGUGUGGGUAUGCUCUUGCUGUGGAUCCUCUGGGAAAGAGAAAACAUCAACUGGUUACCAGUGUAAAGGAGAAUCGGUGUGGACAGUCUGUGGAAAUGGAAAAGCUUCUGGUUACAGCCCUCAGAAGGAUGGAUAAAAGCAAAUCUCCAUUGACAAAAGAAUGCCUUCCCACUUAGGAUUUCAAAAAUGGCUGUACAUCUGAUAUAUGUUGCACUGCACUUAAAAUAAUGACGACCUAUCUGAAAACUUCCUAUUUGGAAGGUGGAUAGAGUCUGAAAGCAUAUAAGUGCACUAUGCGACUCAUUCAUCUGGAUACUGUAAGCCUUACAUCCUUAAUGCACAAAUUUGUUUGAAAAAAGAAAAAAAGGAAACAAAAACUCAGAUUGUGUGAUUGUCUUUUUCACCUAAAUGUGUAACUUGUCCCUCCAUCAGAGGACCUAGCUGCUUGUCUAGCUUUUAUCUGUUGUCUGACGCCAUCUCGUGGAGAUAAGAUGCAACUGCAUCAAACAAUUAUGCCCUAUCGCUGACAAUUCCAAGUUAAUGAGCUAUUCAUCAGUUUUCUUAAUAAUGAUGAAAAGUAACAUCAAAAUAAAUCAAAAUAAUAAAAAAUGAUGAACAGUAAUCAUUCUGAAUAACAAUAUAUCCACAACUCCUCCC